rnacentral:rRNA from 1 species
AGAAUCAACGCUGGCGGCGUGCCUAACACAUGCAAGUCGAACGAGAAAGUGGAGCAAUCCAUGAGUAAAGUGGCGACCGGGUGAGUAACACGUGACUAACCUACCUUCGAGUGGGGGAUAACCUCGGGAAACCGAGGCUAAUACCGCAUAACAUCGCAAGAUCAAAGCAGCAAUGCGCUGGAAGAGGGGGUCGCGGCUGAUUAGCUAGUUGGCGGGGUAAUGGCCCACCAAGGCGAAGAUCGGUAGCCGGCCUGAGAGGGCGCACGGCCACACUGGAACUGAAACACGGCCCCAGACUCCUACGGGAGGCAGCAGUGGGGAAUCUUGGACAAUGGAGGAAACUCUGAUCCAGCGAUGCCGCGUGAGUGAUGAAGGCCUUCGGGUUGUAAACUCUUUUACCAGGGAAGAUAAUGACUGUACCUGGAGAUAAGCUCGGCUAACUUCGCGCCAGCAGCCGC